CGAGGCACAUUAAUGUGUUAGAAAUGAAAUCAGAAGAUGGACAGUUGAUCUUUGCCCUAAUUUUUCUCUCCAUUUAUGUUCAAAUUUACCAUGAUAAUGCAUUCAAAAUCUUCUCGUGCAUUGCAUAUUAUAAAUAAGCUGAACACUUCUGCCACAUAUGACUUCUUGGAGUUGUUCUUUAAGCAGCAGAUAUUUCCCGAGUAGGAGUUUGCUUCUUGUGAAAUGCAUGCCUGUGAAAAAUGCGACUAACUUUUGUCUUUGUUAUCCACGGAGAAUGAUAAGGAAAACUUUUAAUUUUGGUUUAUGUUAUUUUAAAUUAUGAACAACUUUAUGUAUUUAAACAUUAUAUAUGUAUUAUGGAACAUUAUGUAGUGGGGU